rnacentral:lncRNA from 1 species
ACCAGCGACCCUCCGGGAUAGCGCGCCGGAGACUGGGAGCGCGGGGCGCCCAGGGACCCGGCAGCGGGGUGGGGUGGGUGGGACUGGAGGGGGAACCGGGCAUCUCUCUGCUUCCUGAGCGCAGAGGCGCCCCUCGCCGUGCCUCUCAGCCGCCAUCCCCCUGCCGCCAUUCCCGGCCGCCGCGUUACCCAAGCCAGGAUCGCCCCAUGGUCGCCCCAUGCGGAGGGCAAAGUCGCGCCGCGGACCUUGCGAGCCAGUGUUGAGAGCUCCUCCCCCCAUCUGCUACAGCCCCGGCAGUCCUGCGCAGAUUCUAGAAGACCACGCCUACUUCUACCCAGACUUGCAGCUCUAUUCUGGGAGGCAUGAAGCACCUACUUUGACAGUGGAGGCAAACGGAGGCCUGAGGGGGAAAAGCG